CCGAGAGCCUUCACAUCUUCAGACUAAAGACACACCUCUUCAGACUCUACCUCCACUAACACACUAACUAACUGGAGCACUGACAUUGGACUUAUAAUGGUUCUUAUCUACAGCGAGUUGUACAUCGGCUUAUUUGAUGAAAUCACACUUUGUUGUUUCUUGUUCUUCUGAGUUUGUGUCCUGAUGGUUGAAAUGUUCUUGUUGUAAGUCGCUUUGGAUGAAAGCGUCAGAUAAAUGACGUGUGAUGUGAUGUAAUCUAAUAUAUAGGUGUUUCUUUCUGUUGUUCCCUGUCGGAUUGUCUACGGAUUGUAGUUUAAAGAGUUUUUCUGAUUUUGUGUUUUACCUUUUUUGCAAAUUUGGUUUUGAAAGAAAAAGAAAAGGAAUAAACUUGUUCUCGUUUUUUAAACCUGGGUCUGCGACUGAGUCUCUACGUCUUUGAUGUGAGAAACCCAAACAGAAUCAGAUGGGUUACAUGUUGAAUUACUCAAAGGUCUUCGGUCUGGAUCCCAAAGACUGUUACAGAGAAGUCUGCCGCUCGAAUGAUGAAAGGUCAAAGUCAGCUUUAUGACACAGAUACGGGGUAAUAAAGUAAACAAAAUACGGGAGCAUAAAACAAACAUGAACAAAGAGACGUUCUAUAAAAAACAUGUAUAAAGAAAAGGUUCUAUAACAAACACGUAUAAAGAGACGGUUCAAACAUGAACAAAGAGACGUUCUAUAACAAACACCUAUAGAGACGGUUCUAUAACAAACACGAACAAAGAGAAGGUUCUAUAACAAACACGAACAAAGAGAAGGUUCUAUAACAAACAUGAACAAAGAGAAGGUUCUAUAACAAACACGUAUAAAGAGAAGGUUCUAUAACAAACACGAACAAAGAGAAGGUUCUAUAACAAACACGUAUAAAGAGAAGGUUCUAUAACAAACACGAACAAAGAGAAGGUUCUAUAAC
ensembl:lncRNA